rnacentral:rRNA from 1 species
GAUGAACGCUAGCGGCAGGCUUAAUACAUGCAAGUCGAGGGGCAGCACGAAUAGCAAUAUUUGGUGGCGACCGGCAAACGGGUGCGGAACACGUACGCAACCUUCCUUUAAGUGGAGAAUAGCCCCGGGGAAACCCGGAUUAAUACUCCGUAACAUUAUAAAGUGGCAUCACUUAGUAAUUAUAGAUUUAUCGCUUAAAGAUGGGCGUGCGCCUGAUUAGGUAGUUGGCGGAGUAANAGCCCACCAAGCCUGCGAUCAGUAACUGGUGUGAGAGCACGACCAGUCACACGGGCACUGAGACACGGGCCCGACUCCUACGGGAGGCAGCAGUAAGGAAUAUUGGUCAAU